rnacentral:ribozyme from 1 species
UGCCCAGCAACUCCUAUCGCUAUCUCCUCGCGGUACCAACCCCGGUGGGAACUUUGGAUGUAUGCUGACAGGGAAGG